rnacentral:rRNA from 1 species
UACGUAGGGUGCGAGCGUUGUCCGGAAUUAUUGGGCGUAAAGGGCUCGUAGGCGGUCUGUCACGUCGGGAGUGAAAACUCAGGGCUUAACCCUGAGCCUGCUUCCGAUACGGGCAGACUAGAGGUAUGCAGGGGAGAACGGAAUUCCUGGUGUAGCGGUGGAAUGCGCAGAUAUCAGGAGGAACACCGGUGGCGAAGGCGGGUCUCUGGGCAGUAACUGACGCUGAGGAGCGAAAGCGUGGGGAGCGAACAGG